rnacentral:rRNA from 1 species
UAGGGAAUAUUGCGCAAUGGGGGCAACCCUGACGCAGCAACGCCGCGUGAGUGAGGAAGGUCUUCGGAUUGUAAAACUCUUUUCUUAGGGAAAAAUGAUUACAGAGCUAACACCCUGUGAAGUGAUGGUACCUAAGGAAUAAGCACCGGCUAACUUCGUGCCAGCAGCCGCGGUAAUACGAAGGGUGCAAGCGUUGUUCGGAAUCAUUGGGCGUAAAGCGCGCGCAGGCGGAUUGAUAAGUCAGGUGUGAAAUCUCGAAGCUCAACUUCGAAACUGCGCCUGAAACUAUUAGUCUAGAAUGUCGGAGGGGGCAGGGGAAUUUCACGUGUAGGGGUAAAAUCCGUAGAGAUGUGAAGGAACACCGGAGGCGAAGGCGCCUGCCUGGACGACUAUUGACGCU